rnacentral:rRNA from 1 species
CCUACGGGCGGCUGCAGUAGAGAAUCAUUCACAAUGGGGGAAACCCUGAUGGGGCGACGCCGCGUGGGGGAAUGAAGGUCUUCGGAUUGUAAACCCCUGUCAUGGGGGAGCAAAUUAAAAAGAUAGUACCACAAGAGGAAGAGACGGCUAACUCUGUGCCAGCAGCCGCGGUAAUACAGAGGUCUCAAGCGUUGUUCGGAAUCACUGGGCGUAAAGCGUGCGUAGGCUGUUUCGUAAGUCGUGUGUGAAAGGCGCGGGCUCAACCCGCGGACGGCACAUGAUACUGCGGGACUAGAGGAAUGGAGGGGGAACCGGAAUUCGCGGUGUAGCAGUGAAAUGCGUAGAUAGCGAGAGGAACACUCGUGGCGAAGGCGGGUUCCUGGACAUUAACUGACGCUGAGGCACGAAGGCCAGGGGAGCGAAAGGGAUUAGAUACCCCUGUAGUC